UUUUUCUUUUUUUUUUUUGAGAUAGGUUUUGAACUCACUGUUCAAAAUUCAUAUCCUUUCGAGUUUGUCAUUCUGCCUUUCCAUAUGCAAAGACUUGUGUUAGAGGCUUGACAUGGAGUGAAUAGACUAUAGUUGGGUCUGGAAGUAUGGGUAGUCGUUGACAGGGGAUGUAUCAAGAAAGGUAUGAUCUGAAACUAUGUAAAGAAAGAUGUAAAAAAUAUUUCAAAUAUAAUUCAACAAAACCAAAAACAUUGGAACAUUUUUCAACUGUACUCUGGUUUUAUAAUUUUACUUCCUAAGUGCAAAGAACACCACCUUUCUGAUAAAAUGACCAGACUUUAUCAGAAAAAUGUAACAUUAAUCUAGAAGGAAAAGACAUAACAUUACCAGGAAAAGAAGUUUAAUGUAAAUUUUAUCCAUGAAUGACCCUUGAUCCAUGGUCAUUUUUCCUGUCUUUCUCCUACAUUUCGCUCGCCCUGUGAGCUCAGCGUCUCCCAGGCUGAGAUAACAGCAAGAAUAAAGGUUAUUUUUGUGGUUCCUACUUUCCAUGUUUACCAACAUAAAGAGUUUUAUGGAGACAUUUUUGGGAGUCAGAAUUUUUUGAGACAGCAAGCGACACAUUUGGAUCAAAAUAAGGUAUGCUAUAUUUGCUAAGGUUGAUUCUGUACUCCCAGGCAGACCAAAUAAUCCUGGUGGCAGAGACCUUGCAUGCAUUUGGCAUUUGUACUUGGAACUGACCCAUGAUUUCAAAUUUUCUCUCUGCAACUUUGCAAUCCUAUCACAGUAUUUUAUCACUGUGGUCCCUUGGGAAUAUUUUAUGACACAUUUAAUCUUCCACAGGCAGUAAACACAGUAUUUCUAAGUCUCGGCUCCCCUAUUUCCAUUUGUCAAAUCAUUUAAAUAGAAAUAGAAGUGAUGCCAUGCAGACCCAAAUUAUCUUUGAUUUAGUCAAGAGCUGGAGGUAUGACAUAAUUCAUAGUUUAUGUUAAUAUCCUUUGCCCAGACCAUAUAGCUUGGGGAAUAAUUGGCAUAAUUAAAAGUACAAUUUCAUUCAACAAUUUAACUUUAGCAUAAGCACUUUAUUUCAGUGAUUUAUGAAUAACUUUGAAAAUCAACAUUACUCAGCCUCUCAAAUCUUAUGGAUUGAUCUUCGUAUAAUUACAGCGAGUGCAUUUAGUAACUGUGUUAUAAAAUUUCCUUUGAACAGAUGAUUUAUCAUCAUCAUUCAACAGUGCUGAAUUUUUGUUACAAAGACUCUGUAUUAAAAAGUUAAAUGCCUUCAGGAAGUAAGAUAACAAAAAUGUGAAAAUUCCAACUAUGUACAGUUGUUUUCUAGCUUUUUAAAAUUUGGUGUCUACUUUUUUCUUGACAUCUAAAAUGAAGAACAUUUCUGUGGGGUUUUUCUCCUUAAAGAAGAAGAAGAAUUUUGCAUCAUUUUGUUUUAAGUAUUAUGCUUACCUUUUACCCCCUAACUCCAAGGCCAUUAAAGGUAGAGACUUUCGUAAUUGAACACUGUGAGGAAGGGGUCAGUCUAGGACCUGGUAUAUAUGUCAGAGACCAAAAGAAUCUGUAUUAUUUAGUGAUUGAUUUAUACAUUCACAAGUCCUCACCAUAAUACAUACAUCAAAUGAGAUCAUGUGCAAGUAAAGAUAGUUUUGUGGGACCUGGCUAAAUAUUACUACUUAUUUAUGACAUUUAGAACUUGUUAUGCAAAUCACAGAAAUUGAAGUUGUUUCUGUUUUCUAAGAACAGAAACAUAUUUUAUUGCAGACUUUUGGGUCAAUAUUAUAAAUUCUAUAUCCUGAGUUUCUAAGGCUUCUCUGAAGUGCAUAAUUAUUGCCAAUCAAAAGUAUUUUGACUGAUCUCAUGCAACCCAAUUAUGAGACCCAGUAUAAUGCUACAUUAAUCAAGACAGUGUGGUAUUGGUGAAAAGGUAGACAUGUAUUAUUGGAACAGAAUAGACAGCACAGAUAUAAACCCACAUAAAUAUAAUCAAUUUUUGACAAAGAUUCUAAGAUCAAUUGAGAAAUGAUAUAUUUUAAAUAAGUGGUGCACAUGAAGCAGGAGAUAGAUGGGUCCCAGGUAGCAUAAAUGUAAUUGUUCCCCUGUGGACAGAUAACUUCAAUAUAAAAGCUGCGUCCUGCUUGGAUAAAAGAUAGAGACCAUCUAUUUCUCAUUCCUGAGGUCAAUGAGACCUCUGUAACUACACACUCACAGAAAGAUACCUCAGGGGUCAGAGAAAGGAGGGGCACCAGAGCAUAAUACAUCCUGUCAACUUCCCAGAAACCCUUAUGCUAAAAAUUCAUCCUGAGGCCAGGGCUCUGAUUCAGGCCAAGGCCAGACAAAGCAAGAUGACUGGCCAGAGGAAGCCCGGAAAUACUGCCUCUAACAAGUUAUGCAAAUGACCUCCAAACCCAAAUCAACAGAAAUAAAAGCAAAAAUAAACCAGUGGGACCUAAUCAAACUGACAAGCUUUUGCACAGCAAAGGAAACCAUAAAGAGACAAAAAAGACAACUUAAAGAAUGGGAGAAAAUAGUUUCAAACAAUGCAACUGACAAGGGCUUAAUCUCUAAAAUAUACAAACAACUUAGGCAACUCAACAGCAAAAAAGCCAACAACCCAAUUGAAAAAAUGGGCAAAAGACCUGAAUAGACAUUUCUCCAAGGAAGAUAUACAGAUGGCCAACAUCACUGAUUAUUAGAGAAAUGCAAAUCAAAACUACCAUGAGGUACCACCUCACACCUAUCAGAAUGGCCAUCAUCAACAAGUCGACAAAUAACAAAAGCUGGAGAGGGUGUGGAAAAGGAUACCCUCCUGCACUGUUGGUGGGAAUGUAAAUUGAUACAACCACUAUGGAAAACAGUAUGGAGGUACCUUAGAAAACUAUACAUAGAACUACCAUAUGACCCAGCAAUCCCACUCUUGGGUGUAUAUCCAGACAAAACUUUCCUAGAAAAAGACACGUGCACCUGCAUGUUCAUUGAAGCACUGUUCACAAUAGCCAAGACAUGGAAACAACCUAAAUGUCCAUUGACAGAUGAAUGAAUGAAGUAGAAGUGGUAUAUAUACACAAUGGAAUACUGCUCAGGCAUAAAAUAGAACAAAAUAAUGCCAUUUGCAGCAACCUGGAUGGAACUGGAGACUCUCAUAUUGAAUGAAGUAAGUCAGAAAGAGGAAGACAAAUACCAUAUGAUAUCACAUAUCUGGAAUCUAAUAGCAUAAAUGAACCUUUCCACAGAAAAGAAAAUCAUGGAUAUGGAGAACACACUUGUGGUUGCCAAGGGAGAGGGGGAGGGAGUGGGAUGGACUGGGAGUCUGGGGUUAAUAGAUGCAAACUAUUGAUUUUGAAAUGGAUAAGCAAUGAGAUCCUGCUGUAUAGCACAGGGAACUAUAUCCAAUCACUUGUGAUGGAAUAUGUUGGAGGAUAAUGUGAGAAAAAGAAUAUAUAUAUAUAUUUGCUCUACAGUAGAAAUUGACAGAAUGCUGUAAACCAACCAUAGUGGAAAAAAUAAAAAUAACCAACCAUAGUGGAAAAAAUAAAAAUCAUUAAAACAUUUAUGGAGUUCCCCUCAUGGCACAGUGGAAACGAAUCUGACUAGAAACCAUGAGGUUGUGGGUUUGAUCCCUGACCUUGCUCAGUGGGUUAAGGAUCUGGCAUUGCUGUGAGCUGUGAUGUAGGUUGCAGAUGUGGCUCGGAUCUGGUGUUGCUGCGGCUGUGCUGUAGGCAGGCAGCUACAGCUCUGAUGAGACCCCCUGAACUGGGAACCUCCAUAUGCUGUGGGUGUGGCCCUAAAAGGACAAAAAAAAAAGACAAAAAAUAAUUAAAACAUUUAAAAAAUAAAUAAAUGACCUCCAAAGCAUGUGUUGCCUCUCUUCCUCUCUCUUAUUCUUUCUCUCUGUCUCUUUUUCUUUCCCUCUCCACCCACCCUGAGCUUGCCUGUGCUUGAGCUUUCUAUGCACCUGUCUUCUCUCUCUUAUCUCUUUAAAUAAACACUUAUUUGUCUCACUACCCUCAGUCUCUAUGCCAAAUUAUGUCUCCAAAGGGACAAAGGUCUGAAGACCUACUUCAAGUGGUUAGGGUUCAGUAUUCUCACCCAAUAGUCACCUGAGAACACACACACACAACUUGACCCAUAGCUCACAACUUAUAUGUAGAAAAUAUAGAAGAAAAAAGCUUUGGGGGUCAGUCAGAUUUUAGUGAAAUACAUGAAAAGAAAAUCUGAGCUUUAUAAAAAUUAAAAACUCGGAGUUCCCGUCCGUGAAAACACUGUUAAAAGAGAGAAUACAAACUAUAGAUGGGGAGAAAAUCAUGUUUUUGACAAAGAACUUGUUUCCAGAUUAUAUAAAAACUCUCAAAACUAUAAUAAGAAAAGAAGGAAGCUGAUAUUAAAGAAUAUGCAAAAGAUCUGAACAGAUGGAUCAAGAUGGCAGAGGAGUAAAACUUCACACCUUUUCCCUCAAACACAUCAAAAAAACACAUCUACAUAUAAAACGACUCACACAGACCAUCUACUGAAUGCUGGCAGAAGAACUUAAGCCUCCAAAAAGGGCAAGAAACUCUUGACAUAACUGGGUAGAACAAAAGAAGAGAGACAGAAAAGGAAUCAAGAUGGGACUAGCCUUCCUGAGAGGGAGCUGUGAAGGAGAAAAGGAACCCACAUCCUGGGAAGCCACCUAACCCACCAGGAAAUCAGCCAAGACAGAGGGACCUCAAAGUCACAAAGAGAAGCACAGCAGCUGGACUCUACUCACUCACAGUAGAGUGAGAGUCACACAGAUAUCUGCACCACCAUCCCAGUCACCACAGGCUGAGAUUCUUCGACAAGGGCUGGGUGCUGAGACUUAGGCUCUGGAGGUCAGCUCCAGAGAGAGGACUAGGGUUGGCCGUGUGAGGACAGCCUGAGAGGCUAAGGAGCAGUGUGCCACAGGUGGGGGAGCAAUGCGCUAUGGGCUGGGGAAUGAAACACCUUGGCAGAGGGAACCAGGGAAAAGAUCUGGACCCACAGGAGAAGCUGUGCCAUUGUUGGGGAGGUCAACAGGAGGAGGGGUGGACCACCAUGGGAAUUUCCUGGUGCACGCACACGCAGGCUCUUGGAGGGCGGGGCACCUCUGCUGCAGAGAAGCCACGUGCUUGGGCUACAGGAGACUGGGCGCUUCUUGUGCAGGCUAUGGGUGGCUGGGCACUUCUUGUGUGGGCUAAGGGCAGCAGGGGGCUAAGUGCAAUGUGUUGCUUCUUGUGUGAUCUACAGGCAGCAGGGACAGACUGCAGCAGUCAUCUCGGAAUCCAAAAAAGAGGGCACCUCAACCAAGCACCACACGUUGCUCUUACUCCCCUGGGAAAACACCUGCCCUGCAGCUAUCACUGCCACAUGCUCUGGACAGCGCCCAGAUGCUAGAUUACUGUCCUUUGCCAAGACCCAACGACUAAGAGCAGCUGGUGCAGUACCUUCUGCUUGGGCUAAGCAGGAUGGAGUGCUUCUUGUGUGGUCUGCAGGUGGUGGGGGCAAACCACUGCAGUUAUCUCUGACUCUAGGGGAUGGGCAUAGCCCACCAACACUGGGGAUCCCUGAACAAGAAGUGCUUGCAGCUCCAACCACCUCACAGGGCACCACAGAGGAGGACAUUGCAAUAGAACACCACCAGUUGUUCCUCUCACUCCACUGGGAGCACACCUGCCCUACUGCUUCCACUGCUGAAUGCUCUGGGCAGUGCCCACACACUUGACUUCUGUCACUUCCCAGGAUCCUGCAACUAGAAGCAGGCUGUGUAGCACCUCUUGUGUGGGCUAAGUGAGAUGGGGUGCUUCUUGUGUGGUCUGCAGGUGAUGGGGGCAAACCACUGCAGUUAUCUCUGACUCCAGGGAUAGGCGUGGCCUGCUACCACUAGGGGUCCCUGAAAGGCACCACUUGUGGCUCCAGUCACCUCAGAGGAGGGCACUGUAAUUGAACACUAGCUGUUGUUGCUCUCACUCCCCUGGGAACUCAAACACUCUGCUGCUGCCACUGUCAAAUGCUCUGGGCUCCUUGUAAAUCUGCCUAAGGCUCAUUCUCACCUCCCAGGGCCCUGAACCUAGGAGUAGCCUGCACCAUCUUCCUGCAGGUCCUUGUUGCUGUUGAGAUCCCAGCAACCAGGCACUGAUUACCAGCCCUACCCACUGCCUCUUUCUACCUGGAAACACACUCAGGACUCUGGCAUAACAGCCUGCUCACACUGAAGAAAGAGACAGGAAAUAUUCAAACUCUCAUGCCAAAAAUACAUAGCAACCCCCCACAAGAUAAAGAAAGGUGCUCUUGUAUAGAAGUAGCCCUCCAAGACUACAGUUUGGCUUCCCUAAACUCACAGAAAAAGAAAAACAUAAGCAAGAUAAAGAAGCUCAGAAACCAUUCCCAGCUAAAGGAACAGAAGAAUUCACAUGAAACAGCAAAAAAUGAAACAGACCUCCGCAGUCUGACAGACAUUGGGUUCAAAAGGGGAUAGUGAAAAUACUGAAGGAAUGAAGGCUGAAUAUCAAGGAAUUAAGAGCAGAUGUGAAUAGUAAUGCAUAUUCCUUUAGAAAAUAAUUGGAAAUAUAUGGAAGAACAUAGAAAAAUUACAAAAUUCAUAUGUAGAAAUGAAAACUGAGUUAAAGGCACCAAAGAGCAGAGAGUAAUGCAGAGGAAUGAAUUAGUGACUUGGAAGAUAAAAUAAUGGAAAUCAACCAAUCAGGACAGCAGAC
rnacentral:lncRNA from 1 species